CGGUCAGGAAAAGUCCGCACCCUCUUAUGUAGGUAAGAGGAGGCUGGAGACUUGCUGUAUUCUGGGAAUGGGCAGAGUCACUCGUCCGAACAGAGUCCUGUCCUACGCGGCGGAAGCGUGUGCCCUUUGACUUGCAUCGUCUAGCUACCUCUGCCAUCCUCUACCAGCCGCAGCUCCGAGGGCUGGAGGUUGGUCUGCAGUCAUUCACCUGGUUCUUAAGUCCAGCUAGAUUUCGUGGUUGUCUCCAUCCCAGAGGCUGUGUGGACGCCCUUCUGGAAGCACACAUCCCAUGUCCUCUGGGGAGCAGUAGAGCCAACUUCAGGACUGAUUGAUCAUGACUUCUAUAAAGGAACAGGCAGCAAUUAGCAGGCUCUUAAGUUUUUUACAGGAGUGGGACAAUGCUGGCAAAGUCGCAAGGAGUCACAUCCUUGACAAAUUUAUUGAAACCAACCAAGGCAAGACUGCCCCUGAACUGGAGCAGGAGUUUUCCCAGGGAGCCAGUUUGUUCCUGGUACGCUUGACCACCUCACUUAGAAUCACCUAUGUCACUGACUCAUGUUUAGAAAAGCUUCUCAGGUCCAUUGGCAUCUUCUUAUCAGCUGUAAGCAGUAAUCGGUACCUUAUAGAAUUUCUUGAGGUUGGAGGUGUCCUGACACUCUUGGAAAUACUUGGGCUGGAGAAGAUCAAGGAGGAGGCCAAGAAGGAAUCUGUCAGACUACUUCAGGUUAUUGCAAACUCUGGCAGGACGUACAAGGAGCUCAUUUGUGAAAGCUAUGGUGUACGAUCCAUAGCAGAAUUUUUGGCAAAGUCUAAGUCAGAAGAGACCCAGGAGGAAGUGCAGGUUCUGCUGGAUUCUUUGGUCCACGGCAAUCCCAAGUACCAAAAUCAAGUGUAUAAAGGUCUAAUAGCUUUGCUGCCCUGCGAGUCCCCCAAAGCCCAGCAGCUGUCCCUGCAGACUCUCAGGACUGCCCAGUCAAUCAUUGGGACCACACACCCCAGCAUCGUGGACUGCGUGCUGAAGGUGCUGGGCACGAUGCACCUGGAAGUCCAGUAUGAAGCCAUCGAGUUGAUCAAGGACCUGGUGGGUUACGAUGUGCGCCAGGCGCUGCUCAAGGGCCUCGUGGCGCUGCUGAUACCGUCGGUCAAGGAGACCUCCAAAUUGCAGGCCAAGAUCCUCAGUGCUCGCCCCCAGCCUGCCGAUGUUUUUGCAGCAGGCCGCGGCCGCCAAGGCCAUCGGGUAAGCGGGCAGAGGGUAGUGGGUGGCCACAAGCCUGGUUUGGCGCUGCCCGCGGGCCCCGGGAGCGCUCAGGACGCUGUGCGCCGGGUGGGCGGGGGUGUGCGCCGGGUGAGCCCAGGGCAUCUGCCCAGCCCGAAUCCCCCGGCCCAGGGUCCUGGCACGCAACGACAUGAGCAUCGCCGAGGAGCUGCUGUACCUGCACGUGGUGCACGGCCUAAUGGCCGCCAUGGGCAACAUGGACCACAGCAACAGCCAGCGGCUGGCCAGCCUCACGCUGGAGUGCUUCGUGCAGAUGUUCCCGUUGGUGGCGGAGCACGUGCGCAAGGGCAUGGGAGAGGAACUCUACCAGCUCUUCCUGGCUGCCAACUCGCCCCCCACCUGCAACAUCCCUCUGCCAAGCCCAACUCCAAGUCCAGACUGCCCUGGCACCCCAGCUGGGUCCCCCUUGCUCCUGUCCUCAGAGCAACGCUGAGGACUUGUACAUGAAAUUAGACAGCAUUCAGGCAGACAUCUUGGCGGCCAACAAAGUCAAUGUUACCAAAGCCCUGCGCCUCCAUGGCAGCUCCUACAACAUGAACAUUUUCUAUGGCUCGCAUGAUUCGGCUCAGAUGGCCUACCUCACACACUUCGAGAAGGAGGAUGUGGAAUCAAAGGAGUAACAGCCCCUGUGGCAAACCAGGAAGGCCAAGGCUGCGGGGCAGGGAAGCCUGGCAAGAGGAAGGCAUCUGGGGUCAAGCUCAGAGCCACUCCACUUGGCUCCAGGGGGGGAGACGGGGAUUAGGCACCCCAGAAGGGCAGAGGGAGAACCGCUGGCUGUGAAGAGUCAAUAAACAGCCUUGAUACCUGUC